CACGACGCAACGAUCAAAGUGUUGAUUUAUCUCUCUGACUUUGCGUUGCUGGUGCACAUUGCACCACGGCGCUGAGGUCACAGUGCAGAGCAACUGUGAAACCGCAGCUCACAAAUAUCACAUUCUUGCGAAAAUAACGUUAGCCGGUUCCAUUUUAAGUCUUCAAAUGUUUGGAUUUUCUGUUUCCUCCGCUGCAGAACGCUCGUGGUGAUUCAUCAAGAAAAACAAAUGGUCGACUUCAAAUUGGGCUUCUUGUUGGAACGUGACGGGGGCCUUUGAGAAGCAUCACCUGUUCCACACAAAUCCAACGGCCUUGUCUCUGCCCUGCCAGCUGCUGACAGCACGAGUCACUUUGAGUUGCUAUCAGCUCCAUCCUCCCAGCAUCCUCUGAGGAAGGAAGCAGGGCCAGGCUGCACCAGAGCCCCGCAAGCUUUGCAUCACCAUCUCCUGCAGGGACACUGGUUAUUUUUGGACCAAGGGCGGAUCACAUUACGACGGCGAAGAGGACCCCUCGGACAGGAAAUCGCCCAGCACGCCACCCAGCAGGUCCCGUUGGCUCUCAGCCGACCCGACUGUGAUUCGGCCUCAUAUGCAGACGUCGGUCAGGGAGAGAAACGCCUCACAGAACAAGAGACCCGUCUCCAGCGACGGGUGACCUCUAAAAUCCCAUCAGCCCCGGUGGGACACGACCUGCACGCUGUCGCUGUGUGCAAAAAGGGCAGCAAGCUGAGGAAGCCAGGAAACAGAAGCUCACAUUGGAACAAAUGGAUCAAUGGUGAGCUUCUCGCCCACACCGCCAAUGGGUGCAGUGCGUUCAUUGGUUUGAAGGUACAGAGAGAGUAAGGGAGUAGGAGUCAACCGUCUCCCCCCUCUUUCAUCAUUUCCCCAGGACCCACCUUCAUUAAAACUCACUCCAGGGUUAUGAAUGGGCCUGUCUGGCCCGCGGCACGGCCUUGAGAGCCCAGCUGGUUUCUAUUAAAGACUCAAGACAGGUAGCUCUGAUGAGACCCAGAAUCCAGGUGCUGCCAGAGCCGAACGAGACGGGGGGGGGGGGG
ensembl:lncRNA